rnacentral:tRNA from 1 species
GUCGUGGUGGCGAGCUGGCGGGCCGCCCGGGUACCCAGGCUGGUGGCCUGCCGGUCGUCCGGCGGGACGGGUUCGGGUCCGUCGACGGCG